AUUUAAUCAUUAGGGGCAAGAAAAACCACAGAUUGUGUUUUGAAUUGACAUCAGAACAUUAAUUUUCUUGAAACAAUGGAUGGAGGCUUUAUGUGAAAGAUACAAGUUAUGUGGUGGUGGAAACUCUACUUACAUGUUUGUGGUGGAUGUAAUUUUAGAAUGUCCAUGUAAAUUGUUGAUUUGAAGCGACUCUUCAUGAAACGUCAUACCAUAUUGAGGCCUUGUGAUGUUAAGUCGCUUUGGAGUUAAUUUUGAGGAAUUACAUCAUUUUAGAGUUUCUGAAACAUGUCAGAAGAUGGACGUGGCACCACAUUUUACAAUGAUGCAUGUUUAGUUUAGAUUGCACCAACUCUCAGUGGAGGUAUUCAGCUUAUCGUGAUGGAUGGUCACAACAGAAAGACUUCAUUUUCUUGUAACUCACUCACCAUUUUUGAGUUUCCUGAAACUUGCCAGAAGAUGUUCAUGGCACCACAUCUGGUGAUUCAUUUUCUCUCUUCACAGUGAGCUUCAUAAGUUUUCCCUGAACCAUAUUGUUCUUCUUGGCACUAUGACAUUGCAUUCUGAUGGCAGUAAUCUAGCAAAGUUCUAUUAUAUUUCUAGUGUUGGCCUUGGAAUUUGUGACAUUGUGAGAAGUAGCAAUUCAGUUCAUGCAUCAUAAAACAGUAAUUCGAAGAUCAAGUCAGAUUAUGUGGCAACUCAAAAGGGUUACAAGUGCCACUUAACUUUGUGAAGCCAUGUACUAUGUCGGCAGAUGGUUAUCACAGAACUUCAAUCCCAGCCCUUUUGGAUGAACUGUUGCUCAAUGAAAACCAUGUGGUCUGAUCUUUGUGAAGAUCUAUCUAUCCAUCCAUGAUGAAUGUCUGCAUGAUGUAGAAUAACUCAGAUGUCAAACUUCGUGGUGGGUAUCAUGACUCAAUGAUUGAUGCAGAGGAAGAAUGGGACAUCACCUCUUUGUCACAGGGUCUGUUGCUAAGGUUGUCAUGGUUAUCAGGAAGAGCCGAGGGUUUACAGCAUUCAAAUGCGACAUUUGAGUUCUCUGUACUGACUGAGCACACAGGAUACAGCACCUUAGAGCUUUUACCAUAUUAACAGUUUAUGUUCCCUUCUGUCUUCCCCUCACUGGACAAAGAAGCUAGGGGAAAGAACAUCUUAAAUGCCAUAGGUCUGGAACCUGAUCCACAUAUUGGUUGGUUGGUUCUUUUAUUUUUAACCUCCAUCACUAAAUAGCUCGAGUCCCCGAUGCUCUGUACAAUAAUUAGGGAUAUCUUCCAUUCCUUGGUUAGCUCACCUCUCAUGUCCCAUCUCAUGGUCCCUCAAAGUGAAUUGGUCCACAUAAUUGAAAGGUUCUAUGGCCUAAGGAUUAGCCCACUGCUUCAUUAGUGCUUCUGUUAUCAUUCAAAAGGAUACUGCAUAACCUGAUCGAGAUUUGUAGAUUGGUGUAAUUGUUUUCUCCUUCAUUUUUGGUGUGAGACGAAUAUGGUGGCAAGACUCUCCUUUAGCUCUUUGUGGUUGCUUUUUGAGAUGUACCAUGACAUCUGACACAGUGUAGCUUGUGAGUUCUACAUGGCACCCCAGUUACCUCAUCUCAACUGAGUGGAACUUGGUGGAUAGGCAAAGGCAGGCAGGACAUCGGUCAAGGUGGACCAACAAAGUAUGGCUUUCCCCUGGAGUCCUGAUGUUUGGUGGUCCUCUUGGAAAAUUGGAGGUGCAACUAUAUCAUGCCUCAAUAUUCCUUGGUACUGUGACAUGGAUUUUUAUAUCCGCACCUGCAGAUAUUGGUGUGAUAUUUCAUGAUUAUGUCGACCCAAAGGACUGGUUCAUCCUUAUCAUACCUAUCUAAUAUUGUCUCUAAUGAAUGUUGCAGCUCGAGUACAACACUAUUCAUCAGCAAUCUUUGACAGUCUCUUUAGCAUUUUAGCUUUGCAGAGGUGUUGUAGCGAGGACCGUUCGCCAUGCUGGUAUCGAGUGGUUGAUCAUGCAAGCAACCAAUCUCCCUCAUCCUGCGUGGCUCUCCCACAAACCGCAAACCAUUCAUGUGCUGCUCACAAGGAGAUCAUGCCUACCUCUCGUCCCAUGGUGGCAGGUGGGAGUUGACAUAGAUCACUUUCCAAGAUUUCUGAUGUUUCUGUGGAGUGAAUCAGCACCCAAACAUUUUGUCACCUCUCACCAGCUUGAUGAGUGGGAUUGAUCUAGUGGAUUUCCCAUCCCCCAAACUGGAUAAAGGAAAUCAUAUGUUGAAGACUGUUGAUUGGACUAGAUCAUGAAUGACAUGGAAAGCUUGGUCAUCUACGCAAGAGGAUUGAGUGUUGAUCGCACUAGAUUAUGGUAUUAAGUGAUGCAAACACCUGCAUGCGACAAGUGCCGGAUUUGUUGCAAGGAAUAACAUCACGGAAACAAUUAUUGUGAUGACUACCCAACACCUAAACAGCACACUACUCAUGGCAAAGACUUUUGCGGCUUGGGAUGACGGCCGACCACCUUCAUGUUUAAACUCCUGCUGUGGAAGGAGAUUCUAUCACACAGAUUAUUUAUGUCGAAGAAAAUGGUAUCCAUGUGCCUACCACAUGAUAUUUCUGAGUAUGGUUUACCAUGGAUCAUUGUCGUCGGCAUCAACUUUUGGGACCGCCAUGACCGUCUCCAGAGAUGGACCGUUUGUUUCCCUGUGGAUGUUCGGGCUCAAGAUUAGCUUGUGUCGGUGAGAUUACUGUUUGAGCCCCAGGAAAGUUUCAAGAUUUCCCAACUCCGAGUCGGCUCGACUCCUGCCGUACCACGACGACCAUGACAUCAAGUGGUCCGUGUUGCCAAGUUGAAGUAGAGUACCACCUGCUUGUCAAAAUGCCACAUUGGAACCAUAUGCUACGAGUCCUAUUCACCACUGCAUUAUGGAGCGAACCCGUCCAUGGUGGACGGCCGUCGUGUUGUAAGAGAAACGUUGGAAGAGUCCAACGUGACUGUUCCCUCUCUCUGGAGCCAAUGGAGACUGUACUCUCCACUUCUUCAAGGAUUAGGCAGAGGAGUGAGAUUCGACUCUCCAGGCGCCGAGAAGCUGUGUUCUCUUUGCUAGCUGUGGGAGAGGACUGCACCCAGCAGUCGCACAAGUAAAUAACAGGGUGCAUCUAAUUGAGGUUCUCUUUCCACCUUCUAGUCAUUUUGGAAGUAAGCUGGGGGGGGGGAAGGGGGGGGAGUUGACCUAUGACUUAUGGAGGUCCUACCAUAUCUACAAUAAUUUGCCGAGCUAUUCCCAUCCACCUUCUAUUCCAUGGGAAACCUUAUUUUGGUUAACUCCUGCAAUAAUUGAAGGGAUACCAUUAACUCUGGUACAUCGUCAGGUUUAAGGUCACAUCUAUAGUGGGUGCAUGUUUCGCUUGAUCGAGGAACAGGACAUUUCUCUUGUCGAUAAACGUGCGGCGGCAGACGACCGGUGAUCAUGGCGAAAUCACCCUCGUCACUCACCUUUGUCGUUGUGACAGUUCAUCUUUUGUUCGUUGUCAUCAUUCUCCGUUGUAUGAUUGUAAGUAGCAAGGCUUGUGACAUCCGGGGACUUUCUGCCAUUUGAAACUGCAGCUGCCGAAUUAAGUUCUUGUUGCAAUCAAUUAUUGCACCUUUCGGAAGACGAUAAUAUUUUGUAUGUCAUUUGCCUC